CGUGCCUAAUACAUGCAAGUCGAACGAACUCUGGUAUUGAUUGGUGCUUGCAUCAUGAUCUACAUUUGAGUGAGUGGCGAACUGGUGAGUAACACGUGGGAAACCUGCCCAGAAGCGGGGGAUAACACCUGGAAACAGAUGCUAAUACCGCAUAACAACUUGGACCGCAUGGUCCGAGUUUGAAAGAUGGCUUCGGCUAUCACUUUUGGAUGGUCCCGCGGCGUAUUAGCUAGAUGGUGGGGUAACGGCUCACCAUGGCAAUGAUACGUAGCCGACCUGAGAGGGUAAUCGGCCACAUUGGGACUGAGACACGGCCCAAACUCCUACGGGAGGCAGCAGUAGGGAAUCUUCCACAAUGGACGAAAGUCUGAUGGAGCAACGCCGCGUGAGUGAAGAAGGGUUUCGGCUCGUAAAACUCUGUUGUUAAAGAAGAACAUAUCUGAGAGUAACUGUUCAGGUAUUGACGGUAUUUAACCAGAAAGCCACGGCUAACUACGUGCCAGCAGCCGCGGUAAUACGUAGGUGGCAAGCGUUGUCCGGAUUUAUUGGGCGUAAAGCGAGCGCAGGCGGUUUUUUAAGUCUGAUGUGAAAGCCUUCGGCUCAACCGAAGAAGUGCAUCGGAAACUGGGAAACUUGAGUGCAGAAGAGGACAGUGGAACUCCAUGUGUAGCGGUGAAAUGCGUAGAUAUAUGGAAGAACACCAGUGGCGAAGGCGGCUGUCUGGUCUGUAACUGACGCUGAGGCUCGAAAGUAUGGGUAGCAAACAGGAUUAGAUACCCUGGUAGUCCAUACCGUAAACGAUGAAUGCUAAGUGUUGGAGGGUUUCCGCCCUUCAGUGCUGCAGCUAACGCAUUAAGCAUUCCGCCUGGGGAGUACGGCCGCAAGGCUGAAACUCAAAGGAAUUGACGGGGGCCCGCACAAGCGGUGGAGCAUGUGGUUUAAUUCGAAGCUACGCGAAGAACCUUACCAGGUCUUGACAUACUAUGCAAAUCUAAGAGAUUAGACGUUCCCUUCGGGGACAUGGAUACAGGUGGUGCAUGGUUGUCGUCAGCUCGUGUCGUGAGAUGUUGGGUUAAGUCCCGCAACGAGCGCAACCCUUAUUAUCAGUUGCCAGCAUUAAGUUGGGCACUCUGGUGAGACUGCCGGUGACAAACCGGAGGAAGGUGGGGAUGACGUCAAAUCAUCAUGCCCCUUAUGACCUGGGCUACACACGUGCUACAAUGGAUGGUACAACGAGUUGCGAACUCGCGAGAGUAAGCUAAUCUCUUAAAGCCAUUCUCAGUUCGGAUUGUAGGCUGCAACUCGCCUACAUGAAGUCGGAAUCGCUAGUAAUCGCGGAUCAGCAUGCCGCGGUGAAUACGUUCCCGGGCCUUGUACACACCGCCCGUCACACCAUGAGAGUUUGUAACACCCAAAGUCGGUGGGGUAACCUUUUAGGAACCAGCCGCCUAAGGUG
rnacentral:rRNA from 1 species